rnacentral:lncRNA from 1 species
AGGCCCCUGAGGCCUGUGGGAAAGGAAACGCAGCCCAGGAUCCUGGGGUAUGCAGGAGAGGAAGAGGAGUCGUCAGCAGGAAGGGGAGGAGGCCUGGGAAGGAGAGCUCACAGCGGGCAGAAGGGAAGGAAGCAUCCACAGACUCCCCAAAGGUUCGAGGAGGAGAAGCAAGGUUUAGGGGGAGACUGGGUUGUCCGCAGAGAGAGACACAAAGCGGGGAAAGGUCACUGGGAGUGGGACACGAAAGAGAAGAGGCGGAGGAAGCCCACGCCACCCGGCCAAAGGGAGAGGAGGCGGGUCCACGCCCCAAGGGCAGGGAGGCGCCCGCCUCCUGCAGGCGAGAGGGCACGGGAAGUACCCGCACCGCACCGAGAGGAGAGCAGGUGGAGAGGACCUGUGGCCAGCAAAGAAAGGCUGUGCCCUCAGCCAUGGAACGGGCGCACUGCCCUCGGCCCCGCCCAGGCAACCGACACCGGCUUGCUGAUAGCCAGCAGAAGCUGCCUACGCUCACAUCCCCCCUCCCGCACUGUCAAGCCGCAGCACAAGCCGCACCAUAAAAGGCAAGGAACUAGUCCCUACCAAUCACUCCCAGCCCCGUUCCCCUUUCCCGCCGGUGCCGCCCCUUCACCAACCUAGAAUCUGCCUCUUCCCUCCACCAACUGCUCGCCACCACCAAUCCAAUCCCCCUUUGGCCACAGCCAAUCAGUCCCCUGCUCACUCCCCCAUAACCCUAUAUAAACACAUGUACUUCCCUUAAUAAAUUAGACCUGCGUGCUCACCUCGUCUCCGUGGUGGUUUUUCCGCCGCGCGCCCUCCACGCCUGCGAGCCCCCGCAGGAGCCUAGGCCUCUCC